GCUGAAGUCCUCAUCCCUGCAGCACGUGGAUGAGACAUUUGGCUCUCUGUGUUGUCUGCUCUUUGUUGGUCCCUGAAUGAACCAUGGUGGGGUUCUUCCUUUCCUGCUGUGCACCUACCCCUCUUGCAUCAUCCUGCUGGUACUCAUUCUCCCCCCCCCCACCGUUUUAAUGCCAGGUGUAACAUCACCAUGCUGUUUCCUUCAGAAGUAGUCUACCAGGAUGGGUAAGAAGCCAUUUAGAUCCACACAGAAGCCUGUCACCUUGACUUUCAGCCCGGCUUUGGGGACAGUCCCUGCCACCAGGUUGUGAUUUUGUGCUGUGCAGUCUGGGCACCGCGGGAGCUCCUCAGCCCAUGCUGGUGAAGGAGGUGACAUCAAGGCAAACCGAGAGCUUGGUGGAUGGAUUUGGGAUGGAUUGCUGCAUGGCACAGCACGAGCCCAUCCCUCAGAGCCAGGACCAUUCCCUGUCGGUGGCAAUGUCCAACCCCCAUGAGUGGGAUAUGGCACGGAGGAUGGCAGCUCAGGGCAUGG
rnacentral:lncRNA from 1 species